rnacentral:misc_RNA from 1 species
UGUUAUAUACCAUAAACUUGAGAAUCAGUUAAAAGCUAUUAAUACAUACUGCACUAAGCACUACAAAAAGGGUCAUAUGCAAACUGAUGCCAAUUUAUUGCUCAAGACUUUAAUAGAGAUAAAAUCACAGGUGAAGCAGUAAUUUGACAUGAAUUAGAUGGUGUAGCAGAUGUUAUAUACUAACUAUUUUGUAACCACCUAACCUUCAAGAAUAUACAAAGGAGGCACAGAACACGCAAGGAAACAAUUGGGUUAACACUGGCAUAAAAGGGAUGUAAAACACAUACCAGGUGAUCCAUUUUAGGACUAAAAGAACCCUUUUGUCCAUAAGGCAAUUCCCCCACAAAAA